rnacentral:rRNA from 1 species
UAGAGUUUGAUUAUGGCUCAGAUUGAACGCUGGCGGCAGGCCUAACACAUGCAAGUCGAGCGGAAACGAUCCCUUCGGGGAGGCGUCAAGCGGCGGACGGGUGAGUAAUACAUAGGAAUCUACCCAACUGCGGGGGAUAACCCGGGGAAACUCGGGCUAAUACCGCAUAAUCUCUACGGAGCAAAGCAGGGGAUCUUCGGACCUUGCGCUGAUGGAUGAGCCUAUGUCUGAUUAGUUUGUUGGUGGGGUAACGGCCUACCAAGACGACGAUCAGUAGCUGGUUUGAGAGGAUGAUCAGCCACACCGGGACUGAGACACGGCCCGGACUCCUACGGGAGGCAGCAGUGGGGAAUAUUGGACAAUGGGCGCAAGCCUGAUCCAGCCAUGCCGCGUGUGUGAAGAAGGCCCUAGGGUUGUAAAGCACUUUAAGCAGGAAAGAAAAGCGCCGGGUUAAUAACCCGAGCGUAUUGACGGUACCUGCAGAAUAAGCACCGGCUAACUUCGUGCCAGCAGCCGCGGUAAU